rfam:Daphnia pulex DAPPTscaffold_546_Cont9932, whole genome shotgun sequence.
GGGGAUGUAGCUCAGAUGGUAGAGCGCUCACUUAGCUUGCGAGAAGUACGGGGAUCGAUACCCUGCAUCUCCA